rnacentral:lncRNA from 10 species
UUCACCUUGUCUUUCAUUAGUGCUUACCCGACCAAGUUCCAUUUUCCCAGGGUGACUGAGGCUAAUGUGAUAAACUAAUGACUGAUAUUGGGUGAGCAAAACAUUAGCAUUUAAAUAGGGACCUUCUGAAGGAGACACACUUAACAGGGACGAGGUCUUCAGAGGGAGCAAUUUCAGACAUGAUGACAGGACCAGGUCAAAGAUAAUUUUGUCAGAUGGGGCCUUGGGGUUAUGCGCAGGGUCAGCCCUAGUUUCUAGCCUUUGUCUCAGUCAGGAUUUCAGACAUUUAUGGCAGGAUCCCAACAGCUUUCACAGGACUUUUGACAUAAGUACUUUGACCCAAGAGCAUUUCCUCCUGCUCCUUGACAGGCUCCACCUUUCCUCCUUCACAGGAGUAGACUGUUCUUGAAACAACUGAAAAGAAAACCUCUUUAGCAGUUGGGAAGAAACGUGAUUAACCAUGUGGCAGCAAAUGGACAUUUUCAAAAGAGGUCCUAAAUCCAGGGCCCCUGCUUUGCUCAGCUCCAGAGCACCCAUUCACAUAGAAUUACAGUGACUGCUGCUUCCUGGAGGCCUGUGCACAGAAGGCGCUGCUGAGAUCUGGAUUUGCGCUUGGGGCUCCUGAACAAAUGUGGCCUCCAUUCAGCCUUGCAGGCCAAGUUUCAGGUUUGACCCCUGGCACACACUGACCCCAGGUGAAGACAGAGCAGACUCUGUAGUCUGCCAAAGGAUGAACUCUGAUCUAAGCUCUCUGAAGCAGUCCUGGCCUCUGGAUAAAUGACCUCUUCAAUUAGGCUUCUUUACGUUUCAUGUAGAUGAAGAGAUUUUGGCUCAUUUCCCCACUUCUGCCUUUGCUCAAUGUGAAAACACAUUGUAAAAUAUAAUCAUUUGAGGGUGAUUCUAACAGUUCUAACUGACUGGCUGUUCUGGAAGAUAAAAAUAAUACGAUUUUAAAGGAACCUUAACUUUUGAAAGUGAAGUGAGUACCACAUGCUGCAAAGGAGAAUAUUGAUUUAAUGGCCACACAUAAUCCUGUAAAUUUAGUCAUGAAACAGACACUAAUUUUAAAGAAUAGUGGUACUAUUAAAAUAUACCUCUGCACAGCUGUAGGACAAACAGAUUUGAUUCCCCUCAGGGGAAACUGAGAGGUCCAAGUGGUCUUUGCCAGUCUGUGAACUUGCAGUGUGUGUCAGUGACAGUUUGAGUACUGCGGGCUAUAGGACUUGCAUUCCUAAGCAAGUUCUCUAGGCUUCCACAGAAAUAAGCGAUAAAAAUUGCCCUUCUGUGUUUUGAGUUAACUUCCUUUAGAUCUCAUUGAGCCAAGAGCCAAAUCCACCAUGAGUAAAAGUGUUGAGCAUUGUCAGAGAGCUGUACUAAUGGACAAAGGCUGACUUUAAAGGUCAUAAAGUAUUUCUCUCACAUGGGUGAUGAAUAGCAGUUUGGAAUUUCCUUGGCUCUGUUAUACUGUGUGCUGAGGUGGUGGUAAUGUUUAUCAGGGAAGCCUGUCUUGGCUUAUUGGACUAAAUGAGAGGCUAAGAAGGGAAUGCUGUCCUAUGUCAGGGCGUUAUAGGUAAGUCAUGAAAUUUUCUCUAAUGAGAUUUACAAAGGGUGGUCUUUAACACCAGAAGGUAUAGCUACUAGUUAUAACCAGUAUUCAAAAUGAGCUGGGCUUGAACCUAGUGAAAGUGUCAUAGUUUCAUCAAAGACCUGUAUGACCAGAAUAGAAAAUUAUACCUAUAGGGCUACCAGAUGUCCAUAGAAAGGUAAAUAGAACUUUGGUUGGACAGGGUUAGGAUUUAAAAUCACACUGGUACACUGUAGAAGUAGAAUAAAGGAGAGUGAAGUCUGGUAAAGACGAUGCUAGACAAGAUUAUAGUACUAAACAUAGAAAACAAUUUUGUACAGUGAUCAGAUAGGAAAUAAUGGCUAGUAUACAUUCCAGCAGAAAACAUAAUUUGUGGACUUGUUAAAUUAUUUUCUGUUCUGUUGUUCCAUCAUUUCAUAAUUCAGCCUCCUGUCUGUCAAUUCUUCUUUCAGUGGAAAUAAAGCCAGUGGAGAAACCAAACU